GUCUACGGCCAUACCACCCUGAACGCGCCCGAUCUCGUCUGAUCUCGGAAGCUAAGCAGGGUCGGGCCUGGUUAGUACUUGGAUGGGAGGCCAAAAUUAACAAGACAGUAAAUA
rnacentral:rRNA from 1 species